AACCAUAGAAACCUGCGGAGUACCUGCGGAGGGAUCAUUACAGAGUUGCAAAACUCCCUAAACCAUUGUGAACGUUACCUAAACCGUUGCUUCGGCGGGCGGCCCGGGUCCUUCCCGGCGCCCCUCGGCCCUCGCGGGCGCCCGCCGGAGGUAAACCAAACUAUUGCAUUGUAUGGCCUCUCUGAGUCUUCUGUACUGAAUAAGUCAAAACUUUUAGCAAUGGAUCUCAGAUCGGAAGAG
rnacentral:misc_RNA from 1 species